GUAGGUGAACCUGCGGAAGGAUCAUUACCGAGCGAGGGUCUCAGGGCCCAACCUCCAACCCUUGACUACCCACCCGUUGCCUCGGUGGCUCCGGCCGCCGGAGGAUCGCCCUGGGCUUGCCCUGGGGUUCAACCCGUCGUCUUGCAGUCUGAGAACUACACAAUAAUCAAAACUUUCAACAACGGAUCUCUUGGUUCUGGCAUCGAUGAAGAACGCAGCAUCUGACUGACUCAGGUCUGUAUUAUCUCGU
rnacentral:misc_RNA from 1 species